rnacentral:rRNA from 1 species
GUCUGUUCGACAAAAACACCGCCUUUUGGAUUUAAUAAAAGGUCUGGCCUGCCCACUGUAAUUAAAGGGCCGCAGUAUUUUGACUGUGCAAAGGUAGCAUAAUCAUUAGUCUUUUAAUUGAAGGCUGGUAUGAAUGGUUGGAUGAGGUAAAAGCUGUCUCUUGGGGGCAAAGUAGAAUUUAGCUUUUUAGUCAACAGGCUAAAAUAUAAUUAGAGGACGAGAAGACCCUAUAGAUCUUUAUAAAAUUACGUGAGUUCGGUAGGUGAGUUAGGAAUUUAAUGACUUUUUAUUU